GGGCCCCCCGCCCGGCCCACCCACAGGACUCCUACCUAAUCCGCUGCAAAUGAUGCAGGACUGAAUGUGGUGUGUAUAGUGUAAAUUAAUUAGAAUGUAUGUAAUGGAUGUAGUGUUUGUGUGUAUUAGAUACUGUUUGUGCAGUGAAUGCAGAGUGUGUGUUUGUGUAGUGGAUGCAGUGUGUAUAGUGAACGCAGAGUGUGUAUGAGUAGUGGAUGUAGUGUUUGUGUGUACUAGAUGCAAUGUGUUUAGUGGAUGUAGUGUGUGUAUUAUACGCGGUAUCUCUGUAUAGUGAAUGCAGAGUGUUUGAAUGUGUGGUGGAUGUAGUGUGUGUACUGUGAAUACAAGAUGUUUGUGUAGUGGAUGCUGUGUGUAUAGUUAAUGCAGAGUGUGUGUGUCAGUGUAAUGAAUGCAGAGUGUGUGUCAGUGUAGUGAAUGCAGAGUGUGUGUCAGUGUAGUGGAUGCAGAGUGUGUGUUAGUGUAGUGUAUGCAGAGUGUGUGUGUUAGUGUAGUGUAUGCAGAGUGUGUGUGUGUUAGUGUAGUGUAUGCAGAGUGUGUGUGUGUUAGUGUAGAGUAUGCAGAGUGUCUGUGUGUUAGUGUAGUGAAUGCAGAGUGUGUGUGUGUGUCAGUGUAGUGAAUGCAUGUAGUGUAAAUAGAGCAUUCCAAAAAGCUUAUUCCCCCC